rnacentral:lncRNA from 1 species
AUGGUGUUUGAGCAGAGACUUGAAGAGCGAGUGCUGGAAAAAGAUGAUUUAGAAGGGCCGAAAACAAGCUUCUCUGAAAGCACGCGGCUUCCUUUCCUUCUGGACACAUUUGGAAUAUGCAGCAAGGACUGCACAUCUUCAUGUCUCAGCCUCUCAACCUUUCCACCAUGGCUUGAAGCGAGGUUUGUGAUGCCUGUGGGUGUGUUUGCCACUGUAGGCUCAGCGUCCCAGGCCUUGCAGUGCCUCUCACCAGCGUGGCGAUUCCAAGCAGGUCAUUCACGGACACCCAUGGACCAGUUGGCAUGCACUUCCUCCCUGAAGCCCCAGGCUCAGCCAAAGCUGAUUUUGGGAUAACCAGCUGCAGAGAGGAGCUGCCCACUCCAGGGCCUCUUCUCUGCUAAGAGCUGAACACUUGAUGUAACGAGCUGCCUGCAGAGAGGAGCUAGCUACCCACUCCAGGGCCUCCUCUGAGCUAUUGUGUCAAUAAAGCUCCUCUUCACCUUGCUCAUCCUCCACUUGUCUGCAUACUUCAUUCUUCUUGGAUGUGGAUAAAACUUGAUACCUGUGGAAUGGUGGGCUGAAAGACCUAUAACACAAACAGGGCUGAAACACACCCCUUGCUCGCCAUGUUGCAAGUGAAGGGGAGUGAAGAGUUGCAGCCUUUCAGUGAGCCCAGACCUGGGAGCUGCUGAGCCAAGGCUGUGACUUCCUCUUUGGAGCCCAAUGGCUUCUGGAGUCUCCAAGUUUCCGUGUGCCACCACAUUCCCUGGUGGUAGUCAUGGAGGCUGCCUCUGGUGUACCUUGUCCAGCCACAGCCUCACAGAGAGCUGGGGCCCAUGUGCUGACACCUGGAGCUGCCUGCCUCACUACAGCAGCUGGUGUGCCUUACUGUGCGCAGUGGCUGGACCCCUUGCUGGCUCACUCACACAUCCCUCGCCAUUCCAUGCCUUGCCUGCCCUUGGCAGACAUGGAUCUAGGCUUGUAGCAUGACUGAGCAAGCCUCCCAGGAGAAGUGGGAAGAAUAAACCCAGCAGGCCCAAGCAAAACUUGGGAAGAGGUGCCACCAGCCACAGAGGUUUCCAGCCAGAAAAGUGACACCCAAGAUCCCUCAACACUUCCCUUCACCUGGAAUGGGAAAGAAAUGAUGGAAGUUGCAGCAGCCACCUUGAAACCAUGAGACAACCUUGAGGGUGGAAGCCAUGCACCUAGGAUGGCCAAGCAGAAAGGUGGCAUAAUGACAUUGUGGAGCUCUUCUCCAGCCCACACAGCCCACUUCUGAGUUGUGUGUCACAUGUGAGAAAAUUAAACUCAUAACUUAUUUAAAUCACGACUAUCUAAGUUUUUCUUCUACAUGCAGUGGAACUCAAUGUUUAUCUGAUGCAGAGAGUGUCUGCAGAUCACUCAAAUCUGCUCAAUCAUAGAAAAGUAUAAUAAUUGCUGAGAGUUGUUCUGUGGUUAUUAUUGUUAUGUGAAAUGGGUUUUAGAUAUUCCUAAGCCAGAAAUAUGAUUACAAGGUAAAAUAUGAAAAAUUAUUUUCUCUAUUUCAAACCUGUGAUUUCAGAUAUCAUUUUUUGUACUCUUAUCUGAUGACAAAGGAAAUAGAGAUUCAUUUACACAAAUUUGGAAGCUACUGGAAGGCAUAAAGGAAAAAUUUUUUUUAAUUACCUGCAGACACUCCAGGAAUAACCAGUGCUAACAUUUGAUCUAUUUCCUCAAGUUACUUUUAUUUAUAUGUACUCAUUUACUAAGAGUCCCUUCCUUCCCUCUUUCCUUCCUUCCUUCUUCCUCCCUUCCUCUCUCCCUUCCUCGUUAUUAUUUAUAUGUACUCAUUUACUAAAGCAAGAGUUCUUCCUUCCUUCCCCCUUCCUUCCCUCCCUCCCUCCCUCCCUCCCUCCCUCCUUCCUUCCUUCCUUCCUUCCUUCACUAAAUAGAGAGUGAUUGAAAGAUUAAAGGCUGGAUACUAUUAUUUAAUACUGUCUCUUUUUUAUUACCAUUAUUUACUAAAGCUUUCUGAGAUCAUCAAAUAUUCAACUUUGAAACUGAAUAGCAACAAUAAAACAAACAUAUAAUUUUUAUAUUAUCUUAUAUUGUUAUAAUUUCAAUAUAAUUUAAUCAAUGAUGCAACACAACUAACCAUCAUUGAUUAGGAACUUAACCUUACUGGGUACCUGGGUAUGGGAGUUUUCUAUUUUAUUCCUCACAAUAAUUGUAAGAUGCAGACUGUUUGAUGUCCUCCUUCAACAGGUGAAUACAAUUAGUAGUAAAGAGGUUGAAGAAUUUGUCCAGGGUCUCCCAGGUAGUCUAAGGACCUAUGCAGGGCUGUCCCCUGACAAUGCCCACAUGUGCAUCUCCCAUUCUGCUACACAGAUUUUCUUCGUAGUGAUUAAAGCAUUUAUCCAUUUUCCAGUUGUUGUGCUCAGCAUUGGACAUUAAGUCUUUCUGAACUUCAUGAUCAGCUUACUUGGCCAAUAAUACAGUCUCCCAUUUUACAAAUGAGAAAACUGAAGCUGUGAAAGGUCAAAUCCUCAGGGAGUGACAGAACCUAGAAUGAACCCAGAACUCUGAUUGCAAAUACCAAGGACUUUGAGAUUUUUAAUUAAAGUAAUGCAUGUCCAAAGCUUAAAGGCAAAAAACUGAGUGAAUUUUAGGGCAUAAGACAACAGACCCUGCUCACUCUUCCUUAUCCCUUUAUAUGGACUUGUGUCCCUACUCAAAUCUCAUCUUGAAUUCCCAUGUUGUGGGAGAUAAUUGAAUCAUGGGAGCUGGUCUUUCCUGUGCUGUUCUUGGGAUAGUGAAUAAGUCUCAUGAAAUCUGCUGGUUUUAAAAAUGGGAGUUUCCCUGCACAAACUCAUUUUGCCUGCUGCCAUCCAUGUAAGAUGUGACUUGCUCCUCCUUGCCUUCUGCCAUGAUUGUGAAGCCUCCCUAGCCAUGUGGAACUGUAAGUCUAUCAAACCUGCCUCUGGUAUAAAUUGCCCAGUCUCAGCUGUGUCUUUAUUAGCGAUGUGAAAAUGGACUAACACAGUAAAUUAGUACUGGGAGUGGGGUGCUCUGAAAAGAUACCCAAAAAUGUGGAAGCAACUUUGGAACUGGGUAUCAGACAGAUGUUGGAACAGUUUGGAGGGCUCAGAAGAAGACAGGAAAAUGUGGGAAAGUUUGGAACUCCCUAGAGACUUGUUGAAUGGCUUUGACCAAAAUGCUGAUAAUGAUAUGGGUAAUGAAAUCCAGGCUGAGGUGGUCUCAGAUAUAGAAGAGAAACUUGUUGGGAACUGGAGCAAAGGUGACUCUUGUUAUGCUUUAGCAAAGGUAUCAGUGGCAUUUUGCCCCGGCCUUAGAGGUUCGAAGAACUUUGAACUUAAAGAGAUGAUUUAGGGUAUCUGAUAGAAGAAAUUUCUAAGCAGCAAAGCAAUCAAGAGGUGCUAUAAAAGGCAUUCAGUUUUAAAGGGGAAAUGGAGCAUAAAAGUUUGAAAAAUUUGCAGCCUGACAAUGAGAUAGAAAAGAAAAUCCCAUUUUCUGAGGAGAAAUUCAAACCAGUUGCAGAAAUUUGCAUAAGUUACAAGAAGCCCUAUGUUAAACUCCAAGACAAUGGUGAAAAUGUCUCCAGGGCAAGCCAGAGGUUUUCACGGCAGCCCCUCCCAUCACAGGCCCAGAGGCCUAGGAAGAAUUAAGUGGUUUUAUGGGCCUGGCCCAUGGCCCCCAUGCUGUGUGCAGCCUAGGGACUUGGUCCCUGCAUCCCAGCCACUCCAGCCGUGGCUGAAAGGGGCCAACAUAGAGCCUGGGCCGCACCUUCCAAGCCUUGGCAGCUUCCACAUGGUGUUGAGUCUGUGAGUGCACAGAAGUCAACAAUUGGGGUUUGGGAACCUCUGCCUGGAUUUCAGA